AGUAAGAGGAAAAUCCGUCGACUUUUAAGAUCGUGAGGGUUCAAAUCCCUC
rnacentral:tRNA from 1 species